AGCGAACGCUGGCGGCAGGCCUAACACAUGCAAGUCGAGCGCCGUAGCAAUACGGAGCGGCAGACGGGAGAGUAACACGUGGGAACGUGCCUUUCAGUUCGGAACAACCCAGGGAAACUUGGGCUAAUACCGGAUACGCCCUUACGGGGAAAGAUUUAUCGCUGAAGGAUCGGCCCGCGUCUGAUUAGCUUGUUGGUGAGGUAACGGCUCACCAAGGCUACGAUCAGUAGCUGGUCUGAGAGGAUGAUCAGCCUCACUGGGACUGAGACACGGCCCAGACUCCUACGGGAGGCAGCAGUGGGGAAUAUUGGACAAUGGGCGCAAGCCUGAUCCAGCCAUGCCGCGUGAGUGAUGAAGGCCUUAGGGUUGUAAAGCUCUUUCGGCGGGGAAGAUAAUGACGGUACCCGCAGAAGAGGCCCCGGCUAACUUCGUGCCAGCCGCCGCGGUAAUAC
rnacentral:rRNA from 1 species